GUAGUCCAUGCCGUAAACGGUGGGCGCUAGGUGUGGGGGUUUUAUUUACGAUUCCCGUGCCGUAGCUAACGCAUUAAGCGCCCCGCCUGGGGAGUACGGCCGCAAGGCUAAAACUCAAAGGAAUUGACGGGGGCCCGCACAAGCGGCGGAGCAUGUGGAUUAAUUCGAUGCAACGCGAAGAACCUUACCUGGGCUUGACAUACACCGGAUCGCUGCAGAGAUGUAGUUUCCCUUGUGGCUGGUGUACAGGUGGUGCAUGGUUGUCGUCAGCUCGUGUCGUGAGAUGUUGGGUUAAGUCCCGCAACGAGCGCAACCCUUGUCUUGUGUUGCCAGCACGUUAUGGUGGGGACUCGCGAGAGACUGCCGGGGUUAACUCGGA
rnacentral:rRNA from 1 species